CUCCAUACCUUGGACAGAUACUAAGAGUUGAACGAUACAGAAAAGAUCAGCACAGCUUCUGAGUAAGGAUGACCAGCAAUUCUGUAAGGCAUUCAAAAUGGUG
rnacentral:snRNA from 1 species